GUUCUUGUAACUCAACGGAAGAGUAGUUGGCUUUUAACCAGUUGGGAAUUGUUUAAAGCUCCACGAAAAUCAAGAGCA